GUGAGGAAUAUUGCGCAAUGGAGGCAACUCUGACGCAGCCAUGCCGCGUGCAGGAAGAAGGCGCUACGCGUUGUAAACUGCUUUUAACCGGGAAGAAACCCCAGGACGUGUCCUGGGUUGACGGUACCGGAGGAAUAAGCACCGGCUAACUUCGUGCCAGCAGCCGCGGUAAUACGAAGGGUGCAAGCGUUAUCCGGAUUCAUUGGGUUUAAAGGGUGCGUAGGCGGAGCGUUAAGUCAGUGGUGAAAUCCUGCAGCUUAACUGUAGACUUGCCAUUGAUACUGGCGCUCUUGAGUGCGCUGGAAGUGGGCGGAAUGUGCCGUGUAGCGGUGAAAUGCUUAGAUAUGGCACAGAACACCAAUUGCGAAGGCAGCUCACUAAGGCGAUACUGACGCUGAGGCACGAAAGCGUGGGGAUCGAACAGGAUUAGAAACCCGGGUAGUCC
rnacentral:rRNA from 1 species